rnacentral:rRNA from 1 species
GUGUCAGCCGCCGCGGUAAUACGGAGGUGGCGAGCGUUGUUCGGAAUCACUGGGCGUAAAGGGCGCGUAGGCGGGGUCGGAAGUCGGGUGUGAAAGCCCCGGGCUCAACCCGGGAACGGCGCCCGAGACUCUGGCUCUUGAGUCCCGGAGAGGCGGGUGGAAUUCCUGGUGUAGCGGUGAAAUGUGUAGAGAUCAGGAGGAACACCGGUGGCGUAGGCGGCCCGCUGGACGGAGACUGACGCUGAGGCGCGAAAGCGUGGGGAGCAAACGGGAUUAGAAACCCCCGUAGUCC